rnacentral:rRNA from 1 species
AUACGAAGGGGGCUAGCGUUGUUCGGAAUUACUGGGCGUAAAGCGCACGUAGGCGGGCAUUUAAGUCAGGGGUGAAAUCCCAGAGCUCAACUCUGGAACUGCCUUUGAUACUGGGUGUCUUGAGUAUGGAAGAGGUGAGUGGAAUUCCGAGUGUAGAGGUGAAAUUCGUAGAUAUUCGGAGGAACACCAGUGGCGAAGGCGGCUCACUGGUCCAUUACUGACGCUGAGGUGCGAAAGCGUGGGGAGC